GCGCCCGUAGCUCAGCUGGAUAGAGCGACGGUUUCCGAAGCCGUAGGUCAGAGGUUCGAAUCCUCUCGGGCGUACCA
rnacentral:tRNA from 1 species